rnacentral:rRNA from 1 species
CAGUCGCCGCGGGAAAACGGAGGGUGCAAGCGUUAAUCGGAAUUACUGGGCGUAAAGCGCACGUAGGCGGCUUGGUAAGUUAGAGGUGAAAGCCUGGAGCUCAACUCCGGAAUUGCCUUUAAGACUGCCGAGCUAGCAGGUGAGAGAGGUAAGUGGAAUUCCGAGUGUAGAGGUGAAAUUCGUAGAUAUUCGGAAGAACACCAGUGGCGAAGGCGGCUUACUGGCUCAUACUGGACGCUGAGGUGCGAAAGCGUGGGGAGCAGACAGGAUUAGAUACCCGCGUAGUCCCUGUCUCUUAUAC